rnacentral:rRNA from 1 species
AACACGUGGGUAACCUGCCCGUAAGACCGGGAUAACUCCGGGAAACCGGGGCUAAUACCGGAUAACACCGGGGGCCGCAUGGCUUCCGGUUGAAAGGCGGCCUUUGGCUGCCACUUACGGAUGGGCCCGCGGCGCAUUAGCUAGUUGGCGGGGUAACGGCCCACCAAGGCGACGAUGCGUAGCCGGCCUGAGAGGGUGGACGGCCACACUGGGACUGAG